AGGAAAAGAACUACAUUUCCCAUCUGCCCUGGCUGUCACAGGCUAAUAGCACCAGCUGCUUUCCAUUGCCUUAAGGAAUGAUUCUACUGCGGCAACGAGACCAAAUACAACGAAAGUAUUGAUGCUGCAAAAGAAGACGGAUCUUUUGGUAGGCUGGUUAAUGAUGACCACAAGCACCCAAAUGGCAGAAUACAGAAGACUGAAGUGGAUGGAAGCCCACAUCUUGGUCUGUUUGCUUUAACAGACUUUAAAGAAGGUGAUGAAUUACCUACAAUUACGGAGGAGGAGACUGGCCUUGGUGUAGCAAGGUAAAACAUCUACUCUGAAAAAGAGGAAGGCUCGGGAAGGAAAUGAGGUCCAUGCAGUGGAGAGACAUAUGAAGACCUUCAUCAUGUCAUGUCGUGUCCCAGGGAAGUUGGUCUGUGAAAACUGCAUUAGAUCUGAGUCUUUAUAUCUUAAAGAUAGAGACUGGUAAAGUGUCAAAUUCUAUGUCUAUAACUGCACUGUAGCUUACAAAAGAGAUAUAAACAAAGAUUAAAUAACACUUUGAUAGUAACACUUUACAUCUAUAUUACAGAUACUGUACAUCAUAACAUCUGUAGUAAUGCUUUAAUAAUAAGUUACAUUACACCUCUAGCCUUUUACUUUGUAAUGAACCGCUCAGCAUUUACUUCAUCAUAAACUAAUCAGGAACAAAUCAGGCAUUUAAAAUUUCCAUUAGAAUCUUUACCUACACCGUUAUAUUGAAUUAGAUCAAAUUGGUUUGGGCCGCCUUCUUCCAGUGGGUCCUUAUGCAGGUGACUGACAAGUUCAUGAGUAAGCCUAUUGGGCAAUAAAAGCUUCAGUGUGCCACCCAUUUACAUGUUUAGACUGCCUGGAAUCAAAAUUAGCUACCUCAACAUACAUUAUUAAGUUGUUACUGUCACUUUUUAGCUUAGUCAGUUAAGUGGAUAUAGAAUAAAGAAAAAAAAUUGUGUUUAUGACAUUUGGUUGUGUGUCUGUGUUUGGCUAGUAUCUUUAUUUUUCUCAAUAUGUUUAACUUUGAGCUGGCUAUAUGUAGUAAGCAGAAGUGUUAUGUCAAACUUAAAUGAGUCCAAGUUCAUUCAUGGCACAUGUGAGCUUAGUGGUUCUGCACUUUAAUGGGCAAAUAUUUGUUGUCUUUUACAGUAAAGAAGCUCAAGACUCAAGUUGUCUUUAUAAUGUUGAAUAGACAGGGUUUUUUCAUCUGACUGACAAUUUUUCACUUGAUUAGAGAUCCAGACCAAUAAACAAAUCCUUCAUGCAGCUAAAAUAUCAAAAGGAUGAGUUUCUUUGUCAUUUUGACUUGCCAAAAUGACUGGGGAUAGUGUUAAUUUGUGAUGCAUGCCUGUGAUAAAUAAGCGAGGUUCAGUACAGCUAGCACCUCUACUUUCUAUUCCACAAAAAAAAAAAGUAUACUUUGGAGCAGGAAAUGAAACGCUUCUUAGAAUUAUAGCCUCAAAACUAAUAAUAGCACUGGUACCACCUUCCUUAACAAGUUCCGAGGUUUCUCAAAGGGUUCCUCUGUCGGAAAUAGAAAGCUCCAAAGAAAUGUAGUCUGUUAUCUAUUACGUGCAGAUAUUGAAAUUUGUGUAAGAGAGCUUUUUGAUAACCAAACUUUCACUGAUUGCAUAUUUCACAAAUAAGGCUAAGAGUCCUUAGUAUAAACAAUUAAGAACAACUGUUCAAUAUAAUUUCAUGAGAAGCUUAAACCUUCAAAUAGAGAAAAUACACAUCAUAUCUGCUUUACAGACAGCCCUCUAAAUUGGACAUACUUAGUUUGUAAUUUUGUAUAAAUAAUUAUAGAGUUAAAUUGACAACUUUGUUUUUUAAAACCAUGUCCCAUUGUUAUAUAAACGACCUGAUCUGUGUGUAUGCAGAUUAACUAUCUAGUGAUGUCCCCUCUACAACAUGAAAACCAGCUAAUUUGCUCUGCAUGCAAAUUAGGUCCCCAUUAAUGAUGAGUUCUUGUUAUGUCCACAUUAGGUGUGAAAAAACCAAGCACAGAAAUUUGGUGAUUUAAAUCCAGAAUUUGAGAUGAUAUGUGUUCUCAGGCUUAAAUUAUACAUGCCUGAUUUUUUCACAUCUGUAGGACCUCAGGAAAGUGGUGUCCCCACAAUACAUGGGUGGGAGUACUGACCCCGGAAUGUUAUAAUUACAAGAGUGUGUGUGUGUGUGUGUGUGUGUGUGUGAGAGAGAGAGAGAGAGUGAGAGAGAGAGUGAGUGUGAGAGUGUAUGUGUGUGUGUUAAAGGUACAGGAGCAGUCUGGCUGUGCAGCUACAGUAAAUGUUAAUAAUAACAAUAAUAGGACGUUAUUUAAAAGCUCAUGCAGCUGAUGUUAUUUUUAUUUAGUAGUUAAUUUAACAUGCUAUGCUAACAUGUAAACAAUAAGAUGAUAUUACCUGACGUACAUUUUACACUCAAUAUUGACUGUUUCUGUUCUAUUUCACCAACAAAAAUAUUUCCAAACAAAGCCACAGCAGGUCCUGUUCCUUUUUCCUCCUAAUUCCCUCAUUUCUCCACGUUGGGAUUAAUAAAGUAUUAUCUUAUCUCAUCUUUUGUUCAAAUGGGAGAUUUCUUAUUUAUUUUAUUUAUUUUAUUUAUUUUUAAAUAGGAGACCUUUUAAU